ACUUUCGGAGAUUUUGCAUACUAAUUACUUCCGUUGCCCAAGUGGGGGGUAUUACUACUAACCCCACCUUGGUAACAAGGUUGGUGUGGCCCUGGCUCACCUUAUUCCCCAUGUUCCAAAAGUGCAGUACACCACAUCUGAGGUUUAGGCUCACAAUAUGGCAAGCUACUAUAUUGUUGUAAUAACUAUAAUACAAUUUGUUUAGACUUUUUUCUCCUUUAAUUUUUUUAUUUUG
rnacentral:lncRNA from 1 species